AUUGAACGCUGGCGGCAGGCCUAACACAUGCAAGUCGAACGAGUGGCGGACGGGUGAGUAAUGUCUGGGAAACUGCCCGAUGGAGGGGGCUAACUACUGGAAACGGUAGCUAAUACCGCAUACCAUCGGAUGUGCCCAGAUGGGAUUAGCUAGUAGGUGGGGUAACGGCUCACCUAGGCGACGAUCCCUAGCUGGUCUGAGAGGAUGACCAGCCACAAUGGAACUGAGACACGGUCCAGACUCCUACGGGAGGCAGCAGUGGGGAAUAUUGGACAAUGGGCGAAAGCCUGAUGCAGCAAUGCCGCGUGUAUGAAGAAGGCUUUCGGUUUGUAAAGCACUUUCGUCGGGGAGGCGUUACCCGAAGAAGAAGCACCGGCUAACUCCGUGCCAGCAGCCGCGGUAAUUC
rnacentral:rRNA from 1 species